rnacentral:rRNA from 1 species
CCUACGGGAGGCAGCAGUGAGGAAUAUUGGACAAUGGGCGCAAGCCUGAUCCAGCCAUGCCGCGUGCAGGAAGACGCAUCUAUGGUGUGUAAACUGCUUUUGUACGGGAAGAAACACUCCCUCGUGAGGGAGCUUGACGGUACCGUAAGAAUAAGGAUCGGCUAACUCCGUGCCAGCAGCCGCGGUAAUACGGAGGAUCCAAGCGUUAUCCGGAAUCAUUGGGUUUAAAGGGUCCGUAGGCGGUUUAAUAAGUCAGUGGUGAAAGCCCAUCGCUCAACGAUGGAACGGCCAUUGAUACUGUUAGACUUGAAUUACUAGGAAGUAACUAGAAUAUGUAGUGUAGCGGUGAAAUGCUUAGAUAUUACAUGGAAUACCAAUUGCGAAGGCAGGUUACUACUAGUGGAUUGACGCUGAUGGACGAAAGCGUGGGGAGCGAACAGGAUUAGAUACCCUGGUAGUCCACGCCGUAAACGAUGGAUACUAGCUGUUGGGCGCAAAGUUCAGUGGNGUAGAGAAGUAGAGUAAGUAAGUACCACCGUCGGGAGGUAACGGUUCGUCGAAGAAAGUAGUUAAACGUUAAACGUAAGUUAAGUUAGUUAGGACGGUUCGAGAGACGACGACGGACGACGACCGACGGGAAGGGAGGAGG